rnacentral:rRNA from 1 species
AAGGUCCAGCCUGCCCAGUGACUCUGUUCAACGGCCGCGGUAUCCUAACCGUGCGAAGGUAGCGUAAUCACUUGUUCUUUAAAUGUGGACUAGUAUGAAUGGCAUCACGAAGGUUAUACUGUCUCCUCUCUCUAAUCAGUGAAACUAAUCUCCCCGUGAAGAAGCGGGGAUAAAACUAUAAGACGAGAAGACCCUAUGGAGCUUUAAACAACAUAGCACUUGCCAAACAAAUAAAAAUUCCAGAAUCAUUAAGCUAUUAAGGUAAUUUGACUAUUAGUUUUUGGUUGGGGUGACCGCGGAGCACAAUAAAACCUCCAUGUUGAAAGAACAUUUUUCUAAGCCAAGAGCCACACCUCUAAGCAUCAACACACUGACAUCCAUUGACCCAAUACACUUGAACAACGAACCAAGUUACCCUAGGGAUAACAGCGCAAUCCACUUCAAGAGCCCCUAUCGACAAGUGGGUUUACGACCUCGAUGUUGGAUCAGGGUCUCCCAGUGGUGCAGCCGCUACUAAAGGUUCGUUUGUUCAACGAUUAAAACCCUACGUGAUCUGAGUUCAAAC